GGCGGACGGGUGAGUAACGCGUAAGAACUUGCCCUUUAGACUGGGAUAACAGAGGGAAACUUCUGAUAAUACUGGAUAAGUUAGUAUAUCGCAUGAUAUGCAAAUGAAAGCUACGGCACUAAAGGAGAGCUUUGCGUCCUAUUAGCUAGUUGGUAAGGUAAGAGCUUACCAAGGCGAUGAUAGGUAGCCGACCUGAGAGGGUGGACGGCCACAAGGGGACUGAGAUACGGCCCUUACUCCUACGGGAGGCAGCAGCC
rnacentral:rRNA from 1 species